UGGGGAAUCAUGGUCAAUGGGCGAAAGCCUGAACCUGCGACGCCGCGUGAGUGAUGAAGGUCGUAAGAUCGUAAAACUCUUUUCAGGGAUCUUAAAGCACAACCGUCAACAACGGCUGUGUGUGACUCUCCCUGGCAGACGCCCCAGCCAACUACGUGCCAGCAGCUGCGGUAAUACGUAGGGGGCGGGCGUUAUUCGGAAUUACUGGGUGUAAAGGGUGUGUAGGCGGCCCUUCAAGUCGCGUGUCAAAGUUCAGGGCUCA
rnacentral:rRNA from 1 species